UAAUAUAUAUAUAUAUUGAAAUGGGAAAAAUCAAUUAAAGUAUUGAUUAUUUCUUUGUGUAUCUGCCCCUGGCCAAAUCAAUGAAACAGUGCGUGCACGCUCCCUGAAGUAAUUCACACCAGACACAGGUUCCAGGUUGUUGAAUAACUUGAGGAAAGUUUAUUCAGAGGGGACGGCAAGUCCCUUUUAAAGCAAAAUUACAUCAUAUGCAUUGUCAGAGAUAACAUGGAAUAAUACAUCAAUAAUUGGUUAGGUGUUAAGUGCUUGCUCUAAUGCUCU